UACGUAGGGAGCAAGCGUUGUCCGGAAUCAUUGGGCGUAAAGCGCGCGUAGGUGGCCUCAUAAGUCCGCUGUGAAAGUCAAAGGCUCAACCUUUGAAAGCCGGUGGAUACUGUCAGGCUCGAGUCCGGAAGAGGCGAGUGGAAUUCCUGGUGUAGCGGUGAAAUGCGCAGAUAUCAGGAGGAACACCAAUGGCGAAGGCAGCUCGCUGGGACGGUACUGACGCUGAGACGCGAAAGCUAGGGGAGCAAACGGG
rnacentral:rRNA from 1 species